CAUAGGUUAAUGAGGCGAACCGGGGGAACUGAAACAUCUAAGUACCCCGAGGAAAAGAAAUCAACCGAGAUUCCCCCAGUAGCGGCGAGCGAACGGGGAGCAGCCCAGAGCCUGAAUCAGUGUGUGUGUUAGUGGAAGCGUCUGGAAAGGCGCGCGAUACAGGGUGACAGCCCCGUACACAAAAAUGCACAUACUGUGAGCUCGAUGAGUAGGGCGGGACACGUGGUAUCCUGUCUGAAUAUGGGGGGACCAUCCUCCAAGGCUAAAUACUCCUGACUGACCGAUAGUGAACCAGUACCGUGAGGGAAAGGCGAAAAGAACCCCGGCGAGGGGAGUGAAAAAGAACCUGAAACCGUGUACGUACAAGCAGUGGGAGCACGCUUAGGCGUGUGACUGCGUACCUUUUGUAUAAUGGGUCAGCGACUUAUAUUCUGUAGCAAGGUUAACCGAAUAGGGGAGCCGAAGGGAAACCGAGUCUUAACUGGGCGUUAAGUUGCAGGGUAUAGACCCGAAACCCGGUGAUCUAGCCAUGGGCAGGUUGAAGGUUGGGUAACACUAACUGGAGGACCGAACCGACUAAUGUUGAAAAAUUAGCGGAUGACUUGUGGCUGGGGGUGAAAGGCCAAUCAAACCGGGAGAUAGCUGGUUCUCCCCGAAAGCUAUUUAGGUAGCGCCUCGUGAAUUCAUCUCCGGGGGUAGAGCACUGUUUCGGCAAGGGGGUCAUCCCGACUUACCAACCCGAUGCAAACUGCGAAUACCGGAGAAUGUUAUCACGGGAGACACACGGCGGGUGCUAACGUCCGUCGUGAAGAGGGAAACAACCCAGACCGCCAGCUAAGGUCCCAAAGUCAUGGUUAAGUGGGAAACGAUGUGGGAAGGCCCAGACAGCCAGGAUGUUGGCUUAGAAGCAGCCAUCAUUUAAAGAAAGCGUAAUAGCUCACUGGUCGAGUCGGCCUGCGCGGAAGAUGUAACGGGGCUAAACCAUGCACCGAAGCUGCGGCAGCGACGCUGAUGCGUUGUUGGGUAGGGGAGCGUUCUGUAAGCCUGUGAAGGUGUGCUGUGAGGCAUGCUGGAGGUAUCAGAAGUGCGAAUGCUGACAUAAGUAACGAUAAAGCGGGUGAAAAGCCCGCUCGCCGGAAGACCAAGGGUUCCUGUCCAACGUUAAUCGGGGCAGGGUGAGUCGACCCCUAAGGCGAGGCCGAAAGGCGUAGUCGAUGGGAAACAGGUUAAUAUUCCUGUACUUGGUGUUACUGCGAAGGGGGGACGGAGAAGGCUAUGUUGGCCGGGCGACGGUUGUCCCG
rnacentral:rRNA from 1 species